rnacentral:rRNA from 1 species
GAUGAACGCUGGCGGCGUGCCUAAUACAUGCAAGUCGAGCGAACGGACGAGAAGCUUGCUUCUCUGAUGUUAGCGGCGGACGGGUGAGUAACACGUGGAUAACCUACCUAUAAGACUGGGAUAACUUCGGGAAACCGGAGCUAAUACCGGAUAAUAUUUUGAACCGCAUGGUUCAAAAGUAAAAGACGGUCUUGCUGUCACUUAUAGAUGGAUCCGCGCUGCAUUAGCUAGUUGGUAAGGUAACGGCUUACCAAGGCAACGAUGCAUAGCCGACCUGAGAGGGUGAUCGGCCACACUGGAACUGAGACACGGUCCAGACUCCUACGGGAGGCAGCAGUAGGGAAUCUUCCGCAAUGGGCGAAAGCCUGACGGAGCAACGCCGCGUGAGUGAUGAAGGUCUUCGGAUCGUAAAACUCUGUUAUUAGGGAAGAACAUAUGCGUAAGUAACUGUGCACAUCUUGACGGUACCUAAUCAGAAAGCCACGGCUAACUACGUGC